rnacentral:rRNA from 1 species
CACGUAGGGCGCAAGCGUUGUCCGGAAUUAUUGGGCGUAAAGAGCUCGUAGGCGGUCUGUUGCGUCCGCUGUGAAAACUCGGGGCUUAACCCCGAGCCUGCAGUGGAUACGGGCAGACUAGAGGUAGGUAGGGGAGAAUGGAAUUCCCGGUGUAGCGGUGAAAUGCGCAGAUGUCGGGAGGAACACCGGUGGCGAAGGCGGUUCUCUGGGCCUUACCUGACGCUGAGGAGCGAAAGCGUGGGGAGCGAACAGG